AAAAGGAGGGAGGUGUGGAUGAGGAAUAAGACCACACCCUCACUUUGGAACAUUGCAAACAAAUGUGCCUUCAUAAAGUGGGAAAUGACACCAGCAGUAAAAUAAACCACAAACCCAAGAAUUCUCUCUUUCUCUCUCUCUCUUUCUCUCUCUCUCUCAAACAUUGUUGCUAAUCAUAUACUGGAAGCUCGUUUCAUUUUCAUAGUCCCGAAAGAAGGUGUGGCAGAGAAAGCAAAUAGAACCCACCCUGUAAGUUUUGAAUCUCCACCGUCUCCAACAGAGCCAAUGGGAUCACACCUGAGAAGGGUCUUCAACAGAAUCUCUGGUUUUGUCACUCCUUGGAGAAGAAACCAAGCUCCUCAUGGUCGAAGAAUUUUCCAUAGGGAAGUCCAACAAGAAGAAUUCCAGUAUCCAAGUAACAGUUGUCUCUCAUCCUACUACAGUGUCUUCGUUGCUCGCCUUGCUAUCAUGGUCAUGCUAGCUAUUUUAAUUGGACUGCUAACAAUCUUGACAUGGCACUUCACAAGGAUCUAUACAACGAAAUCCAUAAACAGCUUAGCUUACGGCCUUCGCUAUGAACUUCUACAGCGUCCCAUAUUAAGAAUGUGGAACAUCUUGAAUUCUACUGUUGAAAUAACAACAGCCCAGGUUAAGCUGUCAGAGUAUGUAAUCAAACGGUAUAGCAAACCCACUACUCAAGCACAACAAGUUGAGCUGUAUGAAGUGAUGAGGGAUGUAACAUGGGCACUAUUUGCAAGCCGUAAAGCUCUCAAUGCGAUAACCAUAAACUACAGGAACGGUUUUGUCCAGGCUUUUCAUAGAGAUCACAGGAGUAACAAUACAUUCUACAUCUUCUCUGAUCUUGUCAAUUAUUCAAUCAGUGGGUCUUACAAUUCCAAUACACUGUCAUCUCAUCAAGGGUGGAAUGAUCAAUCCAUACACAGUAACAUUUCAGCAAUUUGGUAUCAUGUGCCACUAGAUCCUGUAUCUGGUGAGAGAAUAGGAAAGCCAAAAGCGAUCCCUCCAGAUGAUCAAAUCAACAUUGCAGGCCUAUCACAAGUUCCUGAUGGUGUAGCUUCCUGGCAUGUAGCAGUUAGCAAGUAUACAGAUUCACCGUUACUUUCAGCAGCAUUGCCAGUUUGGGAUCCAUCCAAUCAAAGUAUAGUGGCUGUUGUCGGUGUCACAACAGCACUCUAUAGUGUCGGCCAGCUGAUGAAAGAACUUGUGGAAGUUCACAGUGGGCACAUUUAUUUGACCUCUCAAGAGGGAUAUUUACUAGCUACUUCAACAAAUGCUCCUUUGUUAACAAAUUCAUCAACUGGGCCGAAGCUUAUGCUGGCUAUCGAUUCUGAGGAUCGAGUCAUACGCUUGGGAGCUGAGUGGCUCCAAAGAACCUAUGGCUACAAAUUUCCUUCAAGUCAUGUGGUUCACGUGGAGAAUGCCAAGCUUGGUCAUGAGCAUUAUUAUAUUGACUCGUUUUUUCUAAAUUUAAAGAGACUUCCCAUGGUGGGGGUUAUCAUCAUUCCAAGAAAAUACAUAAUGGGGAAGGUCGAGGAGAGAGCCCUCAAAACAUUGAUCAUACUAAUAUCUGCAUCUCUGUGUAUUUUAGUCAUUGGAUGUGUUUGCAUUUUGAUAUUGACAAAUGGAGUGUCAAAAGAAAUGAAACUAAGAGCAGAGCUGAUAAGCCAUCUUGAUGCAAGAAGGCGGGCUGAGGCAUCAAGCAACUAUAAAAGCCAGUUUUUAGCAAACAUGAGUCAUGAACUGAGAACACCUAUGGCUGCAGUGAUUGGGUUGCUGGACAUUCUUAUAUGCGAUGAUUGUCUCACAAAUGAACAAUAUGCAACAGUUACCCAGAUUCGUAAAUGCUCAACUGCUCUACUCCGACUUCUAAACAACAUUUUGGACAUCAGCAAGGUGGAAUCUGGGAAACUGGUUCUGGAAGAUGCUGAAUUUGACUUGGGACGAGAACUUGAAGGACUCGUUGAUAUGUUCUCUGUGCAGUGCAUUAACCACAAUGUGGAGACUGUUCUAGAUCUCUCAGAUGAUAUGCCAAAGUUAGUUCGAGGAGACUCUGCUAGAGUUGUUCAAAUAUUUGCAAAUCUAAUCAGCAAUUCUAUCAAGUUUACAACAUCGGGUCACAUUAUUCUGCGAGGAUGGUGUGAGAAUUCAAAUGCCUAUGGUAACUCUGGGAAGUUUCCCCUCAAUCAGAAGGCAUCACGAUCUGCACUUAAAGCAAAGUUCAAGCAACAUCGGAACCAUGCCAAGAGGGCUUGCAAGAAAAACAACAAGAUGACUCUUUGGUUUGAAGUGGAUGACACUGGCUGUGGAAUUGAUCCAAGCAAAUGGGAGUCAGUAUUUGAAAGCUUUGAGCAGGCUGACCCCUCAACAACUCGAACUCAUGGUGGCACCGGUCUUGGCCUAUGCAUUGUUCGAACUUUGGUUAACAAGAUGGGUGGAGAAAUCAAGGUUGUGAAGAAGAAUAGUCCAGGGACUAUAAUGCAACUCUACUUGCUUCUCAAUACACCUAUAGAGGGAGCAGGACAGCAUUGUCAACUAGAAUUUGGGGAGCAUAGCCUAGUAGUACUGCUUGCACUAAGUGGUAGUAUGGGUAGGUUGAUUAUGUCCCAGUGGUUACGGAAGAAUGGUGUGUUCACUUGGGAAGCAUCAGAAUGGAAUGAACUGACUCAAAUUCUGGGGCAACUUUUUCGAGCCAGAAGUUCAGUUCCUAAUGGUGGCCUUGUUAUGCAAUGUUUACCAAGUGAACCUUUGAAAACUGAAGCACCAAACAUACAAGACACAAGGGCCUCAGUUUUUGUCAUAAUUGUUGACAUAGGGCUACUGGACUGGAGCACAGAUAUAUGGAGGGAACAGCUUAACUUCCUUGACAAAUACCAUGGAAAAGCAAGGUUCGCAUGGAUACUAAACCAUGAUACUUCCAAUUUCAUAAAGAUGGAGCUCCGCAGGAAAGGGCAUUUAUUAAUGGUUAAUAAACCAUUAUACAAGUCAAAAGUGGUGCAUAUUUUGGAAGCUGUCAUAAAGGGGAGGGAUCUUGAAAUGCAAGGGAGAAUUUUGAAUGGUUUGAAAAGUACAAGAAUAGAAGGUGAUUUGCAUGAAUCUCUUGAAAUUGAUUCUACCCAUUUUGAGGAGGUUCCCAGCUCUGAUGAUUCUGAUAGGUCUGAAAUGGGUAGUCAUAAGUCUGUCAAUGCAUAUCAUAUUGCAGAAAAACAAAAAGACAGGAUCAGAAAACCUUGUCCAUCGCAAUACCAGACAGCUAACAGUUGUUUAGUUGAAUUUACUCAAGUAUAUUCAACAGAAAAUAAUUUGAGGACAGAGGAUCCACAUCAAGUAAGGCCAAAUUCACAUGAUGCUGGAAAUGAAGGACACAAGUUGAUAUGCAACAAGAGCACAUCCCCUUCAACAGAAGCUGAAUGUGAAAAUUGUAGAGGCCAAGAACAACAUUUGAUCAGCACUUGUCCGAAAGAGCGUGGUAAUUCUUAUUCAGGAAAGACUGUGAAUGGACAGAAAUCUCUAGAAGGCUUACGAAUACUGCUUGCUGAAGAUACGCCAGUUCUCCAGAGAGUCGCAACCAUAAUGCUUGAAAAAAUGGGAGCAACAGUCAUAGCUGUAGGAGAUGGACUGCAGGCAGUAGAUGCUUUGAAAUGUAUGCCUGGUGCAGAGGAGAGUAGAGGGAAAUGUCUUUUACAAGAUGGCAGAACAAGGUGUCAAACGCAAAUCCAUGAUUCCCUGCCAUAUGACUUGAUCCUAAUGGAUUGUCAAAUGCCCAAGAUGGAUGGUUAUGAAGCAACAAAAACAAUAAGAAAGUCAGAAGAGGGAACAAGUUUGCACAUUCCCAUUGUUGCACUGACAGCCCAUGCAAUGUCAUCAGAUGAAGCCAAAUGUUUGGAGGUUGGUAUGGAUGCUUAUCUUACAAAGCCAAUUGACUACAGGCUGAUGGUGUCUACCAUUCUUUCACUUACAAAAAGAAUGGCCUAACUUUGUUUUGUCACAGUCAGCACAACUGCAUAAUCACACUAGCAAUAGCUAACAAGCUGCAGGCUUAGGCAGCACGCCAAUGUAUUAAAAAACGAAAGGGCAUAAUAGUAGACAGAAAAUAAUCCAAUUUUCCUUUUUUGUCUUGAUGGGAUAAGGAUGGUGUAACUGGCAUAUGGCAAUGCAAGAUUUGAAAUCUUUGUACGGUUGUACUUCCUUAGUUGGUUCUUCGUGUCCUCCUACAGAUGAGUGCAGCUUCCAGUUUGUAUAUGACUGUACACUAGCGUAUCAACCAGAGCAUUCUGGGUAGACUGCAGGAACAAGACUGCUUUAAUUUUUUGAGGGUAGGAUGCUUUCUGAAAUGUGGGAAUUGGUGGGAGUUAAUGCAGACAGAGCUUGACCAAGUGCAGCUCAGAGAUGGGUGAUUAGUUUCCAAGGCCAUAAACUGAUCUAAAUCUGGCCAGGAACUGACCAGCUAAAUGAAGUUUAUUUAACCCUGUAGGUUUAUGUAGCUUUAUUGUUGAUCCAAAUGGAGGAGAUUGUGACACCAUAACACCAUGAAUCGAAUUUGUUUUUAAGGCUGUAACUAAUAGUUCAUGCAGGAAUUGAGGCCUAAUGGUGAAUAGAAGGAAUUCUGGGAACAACUUGCUGUUGAAAAGGAAAAUUCACUGUUAAUACUAGUUGAGGAUUUUGAUUAGAAUAUGGAUGUUGUAUGAACCUGGUUCCAGUUCCAGGAGCUCUAUUUCAUUUCUUCUCAUCUUCUGUGUUUUGGUGCAAACUCAAACUCUCUUGAAUUCUAUAGCAAAAAUGAAAGACUUCUCCUGUUCUUCA